CCUACGGGUGGCAGCAGUGGGGAAUAUUGGACAAUGGGCGAAAGCCUGAUCCAGCCAUGCCGCGUGUGUGAAGAAGGCCUUCGGGUUGUAAAGCACUUUCAGUGGGGAAGAAAGCCUUGGGGCUAAUACCCUCGAGGAAGGACAUCACCCACAGAAGAAGCACCGGCUAACUCCGUGCCAGCAGCCGCGGUAAUACGGAGGGUGCGAGCGUUAAUCGGAAUUACUGGGCGUAAAGCGCGCGUAGGCGGUCUGAUAAGCCGGUUGUGAAAGCCCCGGGCUCAACCUGGGAACGGCAUCCGGAACGGUCAGGUGAGAGGGCAGGGGAGGAAGGAAGAAUCCCGGGGGUACGGGGGAAGGGCGAGGGGACCGGGGGGAAAACCAGGGGGAAGGGGGGCUUUCUGGACUGACACGGCCGUGGGGGGGCAAAGGGGGGGGUACAAAAAGGGAUAAGAGCCCUUGGAAUUC
rnacentral:rRNA from 1 species